rnacentral:lncRNA from 1 species
CUAGCGUGCAUAGGUACGAUAUCACAACAUACCUCAUCGUUAUAUAGAACGGUACUAUGACCUAUUCGGUAACUUGGAUUUUACCACACUCAUUCAACCACUAUAACUGGUAGGGAUUUGGAUGCUUGAUGCAUGUCAACCCUGCUCUUUUCACAAAUAGAGUGCUUGCCACAUUAGCACAGCUACCAUUAUCAAUUAUCAUUCCACAUAUCUUAUCAUUAACAAAGCAUCAUGUGUGGAAUAUGUUUUCCCUCUGCUCGUCCUCUCUAUGGGCUUGCAGGUUCAUGACCCUUCGGACAACAAGGAUACUUUCUCGAAAUAGAAGUAUGUCACUUUGUUGAAAUACAAUGAAUUUUCCUACAAAGUAA